AUCGCUUCUCGGCCUAUUGGCUAAGAUCAAGUGUAGUAUCUGUUCUUAUCAGUUUAAAAUACUGUUUAAGCAGAUCAUUUUUUAAAAAAGAAUACAUUACAAAAUUGAGUAUCUUAAAAUGUAUCCCUU
rnacentral:snRNA from 1 species